UGAUGUGACCUAAAUACUCAGAAGGUGCCAGGUCUUGUCUGAUCUUGGAAGCUAAACAGGGUCAGGCCUGGCUAAUAUUUGGAUGAGCGAUCACCAAGGAAUACCAGAUGCUUUAG
rnacentral:rRNA from 1 species